rnacentral:lncRNA from 1 species
UGUGGGGAUGGCCAAAUCCUCAGGUGGUGCAGCAGCAGCAAAGGCUGAAGGAGAUGGGAGACCACUCAUCUGGAGCUGGCGUGGAAGAAGGUCUCUCUUCACCUAUCCACCAGCUUUCUGGGCUUAAAUCUUGUGUUUUAUGGACUAGCCAUGUGAAAGUAUGGUGCUUCCAGCCACAUUCCCUGCUGCAGUGGGGCAAUGGAUGUUAUCACACCUGGUCUGAGGUUUGGCCAGUAAUUCCUGACCUGCCAGAAUCCUGGUUUUACCUGUUUUCCUCUUGGCUGAUACCAGUCCAAGCUUCUGCCCUAAUCAAACCUGGGCUUUCCAGCUACUCAUGCUCCCUAUUUUAGUUACAUGUGUGGAAGAGAAGACCCAGCUAUCUGCCAAAGCCAUCAGCCUGCAAGCACCACAGGAACUCAUGUGCUCUCCCUGCUGAUCUUGCUGGUUUUGUCAGGAAAAGCAGUCCUGGCUGCAGAGGACGUCUGGUGCUCACAGGAGGGACAAAGCAGAUCCAAAACUGUAGCAUCGUGGCCGCCCAGAGAACGCUGGAUCCAGUCUGGUCACCCAAACACUGCCUGCCUGCAGCUUCUGAGCAGACAAAAGAAAACCCAUCCAAACUGUGGGUUUAUGUUUGUUUUCCACGCUCCACCAUUGAAAUUCCGUGUGAAAGGUAAGCUCACCUGGAGAUGUGGCUUUGGCAAGUCUUGCUAUGCUGCCAAAGCCUUCAGAAAUGCCCUU